rnacentral:rRNA from 1 species
CCAACGGGUGGCUGCAGUGGGGAAUAUUGCACAAUGGGCGCAAGCCUGAUGCAGCGACGCCGCGUGAAGGAUGAAGGUCUUCGGAUCGUAAACUUCUAUCAGCAGGGAAGAAACCAUGAAGGUACCUGACUAAGAAGCCCCGGCUAACUAAGUGCCAGCAGCCGCGGUAAAACGUAGGGGGCAAGCGUUAUCCGGAAUUACUGGGUGUAAAGGGUGCGUAGGCGGCGAUUUAAGUCAGAUGUGAAAACUCAGGGCUCAACCUUGAGACUGCAUCUGAAACUGAGUUGCGAGAGUGCAGGAGAGGAAAGCGGAAUUCCUAGUGUAGCGGUUGAAUGCGUAGAGAUUCGGAGGAACACCAGUAGCGAAGGCGGCUUUCUGGACUGUAACUGACGCUGAGGCACGAAAGCGUGGUGAGCGAACA